UACGGAGGAUCCAAGCGUUAUCCGGAAUCAUUGGGUUUAAAGGGUCCGUAGGCGGCCUUAUAAGUCAGUGGUGAAAUCCCAUCGCUCAACGAUGGAACUGCCAUUGAUACUGUAGGGCUUGAAUUAUUGUGAAGUAACUAGAAUAUGUAGUGUAGCGGUGAAAUGCUUAGAUAUUACAUGGAAUACCAAUUGCGAAGGCAGGUUACUAACAAUUGAUUGACGCUGAUGGACGAAAGCGUGGGGAGCGAACAGGAUUAGAUACCCUGGUAGUCCACGCCGUAAACGAUGGAUACUAGCUGUUCGGAGCAAUCUGAGUGGCUAAGCGAAAGUGAUAAGUAUCCCACCUGGGGAGUACGCACGCAAGUGUGAA
rnacentral:rRNA from 1 species